rnacentral:misc_RNA from 1 species
GAAGGAAAGAAUCACUAUGCCAACCGUUUAUAAAAAAGAAAAAGAAUGAACAGUAAGAAGAAAAAAGGAUGAAGAAUCUAACAUGAACAGUCUCACACAACCUAUAUACACAAGGAACAAGCUGGUAUAUAGAAUGUUUUGCAGAUUUGAUUUUAAUCAGAAACGUGCACUAUAAGCAAUUCAACCUAUAGCCAGCAAAUCAAGAGUUUACAUCAGUGAUAUAUCAUCGAAGAAUUCAGAGAUUUUCUGGCAAUUUAAAGUUUUGUGAUCCACAUAUUUGAUGAGAGCCAGAUUCCACAAAGAGCGCUACGCCACAUUUGCUGCUAUUGAAGCCA